GUUAUUUUUUGGAACGUGCGCGGACUUAACAGUCGGGCUAAGCGCACCGCUGUCCGCACGGUGAUCCACUCCGCCUCACCUUGUAUUGUUUGUCUUCAAGAAACAAAACUUUCCAUGGUCUCUCGGCGCUUGUUCUUGAGACACUUGGCGCUCUUUUUGAUGGUUUCUAUUGGCUACCCGCGGAUGGCACCCGUGGUGGAAUCAUCCUUGCAUGGCAAUCUGGCGUAG
rnacentral:rRNA from 1 species